AUGUCAUGACAUCGGGUACGAUAUCCUGAAACAAUCCUGCAUAAUUAUAUUUUCAAUAACAAGCAGGUACAAGAUAUCUUAUGUUAAGAAAUCACAAGCAACAUCUUGUGAACACUCUUUGUUUUACCAAAAUUGCUGCCAACACUUAGAACCAACACCGUUGGAUUCACGUUUUGGCUCUUGCUGCUAGUGGAUGGGUGUUGCAACGUGUGGUCUUGCAGCAACUUGCAAUUUGCACUGCAAUACUCUUCUUAAAUAGACUCCUAUUUCCAACUCCAAGAACCG
rnacentral:lncRNA from 1 species